CCCAACACAUGGGUGGUGAGACAGGACUGGAGGACGGCCAGAGGAAGACAGGCGGUGACGGACCAUUUGAUCCAGUUGGAGUGGUUCACCAGUAAGAGGAUAAAGAAAGACGAGGAGAAGCCAGGCCAAGCGCAGGGUCACCGUCACUCCUCGGCUUCCAGUUAUGAGCUCAACGCCCAGGCUGCCGUGCUGCACGACCUCAACGAUGAAUCUGUCUUGGAUCUCUUCGAACAAAUGCUGCGGGCCCCGACGACACACC